rnacentral:tRNA from 1 species
AGAGAGGUGUUACACAAUAAGAACUGCUAAUUCAUAUACCUGAGACUAACCCCUCAGCUCCC